rnacentral:rRNA from 1 species
GUGAGGAAUAUUGGUCAAUGGGCGGGAGCCUGAACCAGCCAAGUCGCGUGAAGGAAGAAGGAUCUAUGGUUCGUAAACUUCUUUUGCAGGGGAAUAAAGUGCAGGACGUGUCCUGUUUUGUAUGUACCCUGAGAAUAAGGAUCGGCUAACUCCGUGCCAGCAGCCGCGGUAAUACGGAGGAUCCGAGCGUUAUCCGGAUUUAUUGGGUUUAAAGGGUGCGUAGGUGGUUUGAUAAGUCAGCGGUGAAAGUUUGCAGCUUAACUGUAAAAAUGCCGUUGAAACUGUCGGACUUGAGUGUAAAUGAGGUAGGCGGAAUGCGUGGUGUAGCGGUGAAAUGCAUAGAUAUCACGCAGAACUCCGAUUGCGAAGGCAGCUUACUAAGCUACAACUGACACUGAAGCACGAAAGCGUGGGGAGCAAACAGGAUUAGAAACCCGUGUAGUCC